UAACAAAGCCCUGGAAUGCCUAUGCUCA
rnacentral:piRNA from 1 species